GAGCUUUUAUUGGUCCAAGCCUCGGAGGUGCUUUUGACGAACAUUUUGGUUUUGAGUGGGCAAUGACGAUUGCAGGUCUCAUAAGUUUCGCUCAAGCACUCGUUGUGCUUAUAUUCACAUUGGUGGAGAAGGUGUCCCG